rnacentral:rRNA from 1 species
GACGAACGCUGGCGGCGUGCUUAACACAUGCAAGUCGAACGGAAAGGCCCUGCUUUUGUGGGGUGCUCGAGUGGCGAACGGGUGAGUAACACGUGAGUAACCUGCCCUUGACUUUGGGAUAACUUCAGGAAACUGGGGCUAAUACCGGAUAGGAGCUCCUGCUGCAUGGUGGGGGUUGGAAAGUUUCGGCGGUUGGGGAUGGACUCGCGGCUUAUCAGCUUGUUGGUGGGGUAGUGGCUUACCAAGGCUUUGACGGGUAGCCGGCCUGAGAGGGUGACCGGCCACAUUGGGACUGAGAUACGGCCCAGACUCCGACGGGAGGCAGCAGUGGGGAAGAUUGCACAAUGGGCGGAAGCCGGAUGCAGCAACGCCGCGUGCGGGAUGACGGCCGUCGGGUUGUAAACCGCUUUCGCCUGUGACGAAGCGUGAGGGACGGUAAUGGGUAAAGAAGCACCGGCUAAAUACGUG